rnacentral:lncRNA from 1 species
UAUUGGUAUUCCGCAUCAUAACAUCAUGUACAGCAUGGGUAAUUAAAGAGUUAAUACUCCAGUUCCGUGGACUGACAAACUUCCAGAUACUUGCUUCUCAAAAGAGAAGGACUACAUAUCCCAGAGGACCUCACAGUCAGAGAAGGAAGAUACGUCACAGAAAUCACGGGAUCUGACUCUCUCGGCUCUCUCUCACUGCCAGGCAGAGGGACAAUUUGAAAUUGACAAUUUACUGCACAUCCAGUGAGGAUACUUCUGCAAUUACAGCACUUAUCAAGACGUUUCAGUUUUAAAAAUUUUGAAACCUUUUCCCGUUGACUACAACUUCUUAACUUCUGUUGAAAUAUUUCUUCUGAAUGAGCUAGUGAAUGCCUGGUAGAUGAUGAAGAAAAAAAUAGGUGAAAGUCUCCCUUGAGACUUAUGAAUGUAGAACUUAGGUACUAUAACUAGCAAGAAAACAGAUGGCUCCAUAGCAUGGAAGCAUUUUAAAAUAAACAUUAAUACAAGCUGGGAUAAAAUUCUUAUUAAGAAUGCAGUUUUAAUCAUGUUAACUGUUGUUGACAUUGGUACUUAAAACUGUUUCAUAGAUCCUUAUGAAACAAAAGAAAAUCUAAUUAAUGCAAGAUAUGAUGAAUGUAUGCCAUUAACUGUAUUAUUUACAGUAAAUAGUCA